rnacentral:lncRNA from 1 species
AGGGUGGUCAACCCACGUGACUUUUGGAUAUCGAACACGCGAGAAAACGUCUCGAUUCAGCACGAUGACACGAAAGAAGCCUCAUCUGAAUUUAAGCCGUCUAAGAAAGAGA